UGAGGAAUAUUGGGCAAUGGGCGCAAGCCUGAUCCAGCCAUGCCGCGUGUGUGAAGAAGGUCUUCGGAUUGUAAAGCACUUUAAGUUGGGAAGAAGGGCAGUUACCUAAUACGUAUCUGUUUUGACGUUACCGACAGAAUAAGCACCGGCUAACUCUGUGCCAGCAGCCGCGGUAAUACAGAGGGUGCAAGCGUUAAUCGGAAUUACUGGGCGUAAAGCGCGCGUAGGUGGUUUGUUAAGUUGGAUGUGAAAUCCCCGGGCUCAACCUGGGAACUGCAUUCAAAACUGACAAGCUAGAGUAUGGUAGAGGGUGGUGGAAUUUCCUGUGUAGCGGUGAAAUGCGUAGAUAUAGGAAGGAACACCAGUGGCGAAGGCGACCACCCGGACUGAUACUGACACUGAGGUGCGAAAGCGUGGGGAGCAAACAGGAUUAGAUACCCCUGUAGUCCCUGAGCGGGCUGGCAAGGCGCAU
rnacentral:rRNA from 1 species